GCUAGGUGUGGUGGUGCGCACCUGUAAUCCCAGCUACCUGGGAGGCUGAGGCAGAAGAAUCACUUGAACCCAAGAGGCAGAGGCUGCAGUGAGCCAAGAUCAUGCCACUGCACUCCAGCCUGGGCAACAGAGUGAGACUCUGUCUCAA
rnacentral:SRP_RNA from 1 species